GCAUGGCUGUCGUCAGCUCGUGUCGUGAGAUGUUGGGUUAAGUCCCGCAACGAGCGCAACCCUCAUCCUUAGUUGCCAUCAGGUAAUGCUGAGUACUUUAAGGAAACUGCCAGUGAUAAGCUGGAGGAAGGUGGGGAUGAUGUCAAGUCAUCAUGGCCUUUAUGGAGUGGGCUACACACGUGCUACAAUGGUGUCUACAAUGGGCUGCAAGGUGCGCAAGCCUAAGCUAAUCCCUAAAAGACAUCUCAGUUCGGAUUGUACUCUGCAACUCGAGUACAUGAAGUUGGAAUCGCUAGUAAUCGUGGAUCAGCAUGCCACGGUGAAUACGUUCUCGGGUCUUGUACACACUGCCCGUCACGCCAUGGGAAU
rnacentral:rRNA from 2 species